ensembl:lncRNA
GUGAGACAUAUUAUCUAAUAAAAAUCAUGCAAUCUAGCUUGUUCACUUUGUAACGUAUAAUAACUGGAAGUUGAUCAAAGAAAACUACUUUCAUUUUCAUUACUACAUUGUUCCUAUUUUUAUGAACAAAAUUUAAAAUGUAUGAUAAAAAUCCAAUAUACGGUAAUUGAAACAUACAGUCUGACCUCACAUUGCUCUGAUAAAUCUGUUCAUUUCUGGCCAUUUUCAGUGUUGCUAUAGUGAACAGUGUUGACAAGGGGAUGAAAAAAAGCUUAUAAAUGGAAUUUUGAUCAUAGAUAAAGCUGAACAUAAACUAUCUCCCAACAUUUCUGCAUGUUGGGAGGCCCGGUUUGUGCCACAGAUGGCCAUCUCCCAAUAAUACAUAAAACAUUUCUUGUUGGAGCUCGGCACAUGUUGUUGAAUGCACAGGUCAUCUGAACAGAACAAUAAUUCAAUUCACUUAAUAAUGACCUCACUGGGAACAAACACAGACACACGAUGAUGCUGUUAGAAGAACAAAACCAUACUAGAGUUUUAAAAAUGAAAUUCUUAAAAAGUCGCCAUGCUCUUGUGAAAAUAGCACUUAAAUAUAUUCAGUGUUUAGCGACCAGGCAGGCUCACUGAGUUUAUUUUAGGCUCUUGAAUUUUACUGCAGUGUUGCUGCCAUGUUUUCUCCAUUUUCAGGCUGGUAGCUUUCCUGGAAAGGUCAGUGGUGCCCACUGAACCCUCUAUUGGCUUAUUGGCUGAGCUCAUUGAUGAAGAAGCCUUGAGUACAUCAUUUUUUCUUCUCAAAGAGCUGAGAUGGCAGUCCAUGAAGAAUGACUGCAGAAAGUUUCAGAAGGACACAUGGGAAUCAUUUAACCAGACCAAUAAAACCUGCUAUUUAUAUUACAAGCUAACCAUCACCUGGAAGGAAGAAAUGUUGGGCAUGGCACUAACUGAUGUGUAUAUUUACCGUGAAGUUUACCCCAGGUGAAAAGAGGAAACCAGCUGUGUGAAUGGAAUUUGGAGAAAGGUAAUACCCGCUGGCCAACAAGAGAAAGAUCCAUGAAAUCUAUAUAGUCGUCCUGGAUAAGAGUUUGCCAAGAUUUCUGUAGACUUGGUCUUCCUUUCUACUCCUGGAAAAAUUCCCUUUAGGGCAGAGUUGAAGCACAUUUUAACAGAGUAGCACUUGCUCUUCUGCCUAUAUGCUGCCUAAGCAGUAGAUAAUCAGAAGUGCUCUGGGUUCCGAAUUCAGCUGCAACAAAAAUCACUUUUUAAACAGUUUGCUGUUGAGACACCCGAAUUACUGACUCACUUUGGAUGGCGUCUUCACUAUCUAGGAUAAAAGUGCUUUAAAUGUACUCUAUAGCAUAACCUAUAGUGAUAAUGCAGUAUGCCAUGUUAUUUACCACUUAAUUAUACCACUGUUCCUUAGAACUCUGAAAUAGAAGUGUGACUUAACUAUUAUUAGAGCUUAGCUUGGAUUUAUGACCCAUUCCAGAAGAGUUAAAAACUUUAAAAAAGUGUACAGUUUUAAAAGAAAAAAAAUCAUUUGAACUUUUAGGCAAAGUUUAUAUGUAUUAGCUUGCAAAACAGCAUCAGAGAAGAACCAAAUAUAGAAAAAAAAAGGUUUUAGUUC